rnacentral:rRNA from 1 species
UACGUAGGGUGCAAGCGUUAUCCGGAAUUAUUGGGCGUAAAGAGCUCGUAGGCGGUUUGUCGCGUCUGCUGUGAAAACCGGAGGCUCAACCUCGGGUCUGCAGUGGGUACGGGCAGACUGGAGUGCGGUAGGGGAGAAUGGAAUUCCUGGUGUAGCGGUGGAAUGCGCAGAUAUCAGGAGGAACACCGAUGGCGAAGGCAGUUCUCUGGGCCGUAACUGACGCUGAGGAGCGAAAGCGUGGGGAGCGAACAGG